GUACUUACCUGGCAGGGUGGGCCCAUGAUGGUUUGGUAAAGGUAAUUUCCCCAUGGCGAGACUCAUCCAAUGCAUUCUGGGUGUGCUGCCCCUUGUGGUCCCCCCCCCCCAUGUAGGAAACUUGACCAUGUAAUCUUUGGCAAUGAGGAAAUGUGUUUGUGCUCUCUCCUGA
ensembl:snRNA U1 U1 spliceosomal RNA